AGAUAUUUAAGAGCCGCGGUAUUUUGACCGUGCAAAGGUAGCAUAAUCAUUAGUUUUUUAAUUGGGAACUUGUAUGAAUGGUUGAACAAAGAAAAAGCUGUCUCUAUUAGAAAAAUUGAAAUUAACUUUUAAGUGAAAAGGCUUAAAUAUUUCAAGGGGACGAUAAGACCCUAUAAAGCAUUUUAUUGGGGCGAUAUAAAUAUAAAUAUUAACUGUUUAAAGUUUAUACAAAAAUAUUUGAAAAGAUCCUCUUUAGGGAUUUAAAGACUAAGUUACUUUAGGGAUAACAGCGUUAUUCUUUUUAAGAGUUCUUAUCGAAAAAAGAGUUUGCGACCUCGAUGUUGAAUUAAAAUGUCUAUAUAGUGCAGCUGCUAUAAAAGAGGGUCUGUUCGACCUUUAAAUUUUU
rnacentral:rRNA from 1 species